rnacentral:rRNA from 1 species
GACGAACGCUGGCGGCGUGCUUAACGCAUGCAAGUCGAACGGAAAGGCCCUGCUUUUGUGGGGUGCUCGAGUGGCGAACGGGUGAGUAACACGUGAGUAACCUGCCCUUGACUUUGGGAUAACUUCAGGAAACUGGGGCUAAUACCGGAUAGGAGCUCCUGCUGCAUGGUGGGGGUUGGAAAGUUUCGGCGGUUGGGGAUGGACUCGCGGCUUAUCAGCUUGUUGGUGGGGUAGCGGCUUACCAAGGCUUUGACGGGUAGCCGGCCUGAGAGGGUGACCGGCCACAUUGGGACUGAGAUACGGCCCAGACUCCUACGGGAGGCAGCAGUGGGGAAUAUUGCACAAUGGGCGGAAGCCUGAUGCAGCAACGCCGCGUGCGGGAUGACGGCCUUCGGGUUGUAAACCGCUUUCGCCUGUGACGAAGCGUGAGUGACGGUAAUGGGUAAAGAAGCACCGGCUAACUACGUG